UACGGAGGGUGCGAGCGUUGUCCGGAAUCACUGGGCGUAAAGGGCGCGUAGGCGGCCUGAUAAGUAGGGGGUGAAAUCCUGCGGCUUAACCGCAGGGCUGCCUUCUAAACUGUCAGGCUAGAGCACAGUAGAGGCAGGUGGAAUUCCCGGUGUAGCGGUGGAAUGCGUAGAGAUCGGCAGGAACACCCAGGGGGAAACCAGCCGGCUGGGGACGUGCUGACGCUCAGGGGCGAAAGCGUGGGGAGCGAACCAG
rnacentral:rRNA from 1 species